rnacentral:tRNA from 1 species
GUGUUUGUGGCUCAGUGGUAGAGCACUUGCCUGGCAUGUGUGAGGCCCUGGGUUCAACCCUCAGAACCACA